ensembl:lncRNA
GCCCCUUCUGCCUCAGACCUGGUCAGCGGCCUCUGGAGUGGCCGGGGCUAAAGCCAGCCUGUGGCUGACCCUCUGGCCGGCCCCCCCCAGCCUGGGCUCCGUCCCCCACCCCCCAGCCUCUCAGUCAUCAUUCAUUAAGCUCCAGAGCUAGACCCUGGGGGAGGGUGACGCCCUGUCUUAGAGGGGGUGGGGACACACGCAUGGGGGCACCCGCGUCAGUGCAAGAGCAUGGCUUCCAGGGGGGGUGGGGAGCCGGGGAGAUGCUCUUCCUGUAAGACUUUCCCACCCGGACUGCACCUGCUCCCCCAUCUUUGACUUCCCAGAGCCCGGUCUGGCGAUUCCCACCUCAAGCUCGUUAUUGGCCAAUGAAUCUGUCCAGAUUCUGGCCCGAGGGCAUCCCCCCAAGGGCAUCUCAGCCCCGCCCCAGUCCAAGGACAUCUUCUCAGCCCCGCCCCAAGGGCAUCGCCCCAGGGCCUAUCCUCUUCUGCCCUGGCCCGUGCCCGUCCAAGGGCAUCUCCUUCACAAUCUGCUUGGGCUCCAGCUUCUCCGGAAGACAUUUGGGAACUCCUUCCUGCCCUUGAGGGUCUCUCUCCUGCCCGGGGCUGCUGCGGGGUGGGGGAGGCUGCUCUCCUCAUGGGACCCCCCCUGCCUGGUUCCCAGCUGCCCCCAUACCGUGCACUGCCAUCCAAGCUCGGCAGGCGCGGGUGAACAGAGACGCAAAGGGCACACUCGGCAUUUGGGUGUCGGUGACAUUAAAUGGAUAGGAAUGAGUUGGAUUUGGGGGCCACUGUGUGAGAUUGUGUGUGUGUGUGCGACUGUGUGAAUGUGGGCAAGAAUCCCUUGGGGAAAACGGAGUAGCCUGCAUGAUGCGGGGAGAAAGCAGUGCUGGGGGACGACACCAGCGCAAGCCUGUUACACCCGAGAUGACCAUCCACCAUCCUAGUAACCAACUCUGCACUCCACUCACUGAUGCGGAAGCUGGCGAAGUCGUGGGCUCCAUGACCUAUCACCUGCUGCAGAGACCCCAGCCCCGAUUGGCUCUUCCAGAAGCCACGUCCGAACCCGUCCAUAAAGAAAAGCGAGUCCCGGCGGCCGGCCCUCUCAGACCGCUUCUGGAGAAAGCUUUGGACACUCCCUUAAACAAGGGCAAAGCAAGUAACCCUGGCGCUGGCUCAGACCAAAAGCCGACACCGAAGCUGAAAUACUUGGGCCACGUAAACUGGACAAGACCCUGAAGUUGGGAAAGAUGGAAUAUAAAAGGAGGGAAGAGCAGAAGACGGAAAGGGGAGCACCCCGGAGACAAUCAGCGUGAGCUUGGAGGGACUGGAGAGCGAGCGGAGGACAGAAGAGCCUGGGAUGCCACGGUGCAGGAAGAGCCAGGAGUGACUAAAUGACUGAACGCAGCCCCAGGUCUGAGCCACAAACGGCGUUUAUUUGCUUUAAAAUCUCCCUGAAGACUUGGAAAGGAUGGCUCUCUUCCUUACUUCAGAAGGGUGGGAGCGACGGGUGCAGAAUAUGGCCUACGUUGUCGCGGAGGGGCAGCGAGGGGGCAGGGGAGGCACCCGAAGGCCUGGGUUGGCGCGUCCUGCUGGACAUGACUGGGCUGAACUCUGCAGCUGUGACGGGCGCCUGGCUAACGGCCCCGGGUUUCUCCCCAGUAUGAGAGCGGCCCGCCGGGAAAGCACAGGACACGCCCGGGCCUCCGCAGACGGCAGCCGGGCUCCCGGGCCCCUCCAUUUCUCAGGGACCUGGGGGAGGCGGCAGCGUCUGAGGUGAGUGUGGAACCCUCCGCUCACCCUGCGCCGGCCCUCUCGGAGCAAGAGCCGCGCGGCCCGGGCCAGGACACGAACCGAGGACAAAAGCACCCUGGACAGAUCUCAAGCCUGCUCUUUAUUGCAUUCAUUCGUUGUGUGACAAUAAUACUCAACGGCAAGUUUAUUUACACAAGGAAAUCCCGAGUCAUCCGGGGCUUUCUCUUGGCCAGAAGCCCAGCAGCGCCCGGGAUGCGCACUCACUCCACGGAGGGCCAAGGACGAGGGCGCCGGCACACGGCGCCUUUUCUUCCAUGCAGACGAGCAGACAUCGAGAUGUACAAACUAGGAAUUUGGGAUAACAUGCUAUCCUUACAGACUCGGAGUUACUGCCACUUGGGUUUCCCUCAAUGAGCAAAGAAAGAUGAAAAGAAAAAGGACUGAAAGAGCGGACAGUUCGUCUUUUCUCUCUCGGGGCUGCCCAAGGACUGAAUUUCCGGGCAUCGAAAAGUACAAAAGCAGUAGUUAGGAGGCUGACCGUGCCCGGGUCGGGAGGGGCACCGGGCUCUGCCCCCCAGCGAGUGCCCUGCGGCAGCCUUCGCGGCCCGGUGUCCCUUCACAUGGAAUUCUCCCGCAGGUGUGCAAACCGAAACGAGACACGACGGAGAGGAGCCUUCUCUCGGUGCGCGCCCUCCCCCCGUACCCGAGGUCCACUCACGUACACACAGCACUCGCCCCACACCCACUCACGCCCACUGGCUUCUCCCACUCACCCACGGCACCCCCCUCAUAGGGCGCCCGCCCCCCCCCGAGCCCCGUUCCCUCCCGAAAUUCCCGCCCCCCCCCCCCCCACUGCCCUCUGGUGGCGGGAAGCCUGGUCCCGGGCAGCCAAGGACCGUUCUCGGGACAGAACAGAGCUCCCGUUCCCAUGACUUCCAAAGCCCUCCCACCUUUUUAUCUGCCCAACCCCCACAAGCGAGUUUGAAUGAAAACGUGCCAGGGUGCACUGGGGCUGGAACAUCUGAGCGUUGCCUCGGCUCGGACGGGGACGGGCGCCCAUCGCACAUCCGCGAGCCGGCGGCCGCCUCCCGUCUCACUCCAGAUGCGCCCGCGGAGGUGAGUGGAUACCGUGUCAUGGCGCUCACGCUUGCUGGGGGGGUCAUGGUCCCCAUCGCUGGGCUUGCUCUUCCGGAUCAUCCGUCCCCAGAGUGGCCAGAGGUGGGUGGAUUUUAGACCAAGAUGACUUCCUGAGACUAACUUGCCUCUGCCCCACGUGGAGAGCCUGGAGGCUCCGUGGUGACUUGUCAGCUGGGGACCCACACCCCCAGGCCCCCCGCCCUUCAGUGCCUCAACGUGAGCCGCAGCGUGUCUGGAGUGAUCAGGAGACCCCGUAACCCCCUCGCCUUGGACACCGGCUUCCCGCCACCCGAUUCCCCCCACUUGGGAGACCAUGGCUCGGGAGGGAAAUCCUGCGGGAAUUUCGGGAGGCAACGAUGCUCGUCUGGCGCCGGGCGCCCUAUGAGGAGUUCACAGGUGACAGACCGCGUCACACACAUGCUGGGAGACACCCCAACUCUCAGCCCAAGGCCCCAGACAUCACCCGGAGCUGUGAGCAGGAACCUUCUUCUGUUUCCAGUUCGAUGUUUCUGAUGGGAGUCAAUGGAAACUUGGGGGAGGUCCACCGACAUUAUGGCUCAUGGGGCAAGAAAGGAUUGCCAGACUGGUCACCUCAAGGCUCCUCAGCCAGUGGGGAGACUGCAGUGACUCCCCCAAAGGAACAUGAAUCCAGCCAAGAGGGCUGGGGGCCCAACAACCGAUCCAAGCCAGAUGCAGCAGCCCGAGGGGCUCUGUCCCCACCUGGGCUCUUAUGGCAGUGCUCGAGACUGGCAGCGAGGAAAUGAAGGAGCCCCACUCGGGGCAGCCCCAAAGACCAGAAAUUGUAUCCCGUGUGGGCCCUGGCUGCGGCUUCCUUCUCCAAGGGGCUCCAGGCCCC